UGGUGGAGCAUGUGGUUUAAUUCGAUGCAACGCGAAGAACCUUACCAAGGCUUGACAUAUACGAGAACGGGCCAGAAAUGGUCAACUCUUUGGACACUCGUAAACAGGUGGUGCAUGGUUGUCGUCAGCUCGUGUCGUGAGAUGUUGGGUUAAGUCCCGCAACGAGCGCAACCCUCGUUCUAUGUUGCCAGCACGUAAUGGUGGGAACUCAUGGGAUACUGCCGGGGUCAACUCGGAGGAAGGUGGGGACGACGUCAAAUCAUCAUGCCCCUUAUGUCUUGGGCUUCACGCAUGCUACAAUGGCCAGUACAAAGGGCUGCAAUACCGUAAGGUGGAGCGAAUCCCAAAAAGCUGGUCCCAGUUCGGAUUGAGGUCUGCAACUCGACCUCANGAAGUCGGAGUCGC
rnacentral:rRNA from 2 species